UACGUAGGAGGCAAGCGUUGUCCGGAAUACUGGGCGUAAGGCGCGUGUAGGUGGUGGGACAAGUCUGCUGUGAAAGCGCCUGGCUUAACCGGGCGAGGUCGGCGGAAACUGUCGCACUCGAGGACGGUAGAGGGGGGGUGGAAUUCCCGGUGUAGUGGUGAAAUGCGUAGAGAUCGGGAGGAACACCUGUGGCGAAGGCGGCCCCCUGGCCGCCCUGACACUGAGACGCGAAAGGCGUGGGGAGCGAACGGG
rnacentral:rRNA from 1 species